UUUUAGCCCCGAUUGCAGCGGCAUCCUUUAUAGUUGAACAGCUGAGGUUUCCGAAGCCCCAACUAUAAAGUAGAGCGGAAAGCGGGAUUAGCU
rnacentral:sRNA from 1 species